GACGAACGCUGGCGGCGUGCUUAACACAUGCAAGUCGAACGGAAAGGCCCUGCUUUUGUGGGGUGCUCGAGUGGCGAACGGGUGAGUAACACGUGAGUAACCUGCCCUUGACUUUGGGAUAACUUCAGGAAACUGGGGCUAAUACCGGAUAGGAGCUCCUGCUGCAUGGUGGGGGUUGGAAAGUUUCGGCGGUUGGGGAUGGACUCGCGGCUUAUCAGCUUGUUGGUGGGGUAGUGGCUUACCAAGGCUUUGACGGGUAGCCGGCCUGAGAGGGUGACCGGCCACAUUGGGACUGAGAUACGGCCCGGACUCUUACGGGAGGCAGCAGUGGGGAAUAUUGCACAAUGGGCGGAAGCCUGAUGCAGCAACGCCGCGUGCGGGAUGACGGCCUUCGGGUUGUAAACCGCUUUCGCCUGUGACGAAGCGUGAGUGACGGUAAUGGGUAAAGAAGCACCGGCUAACUACGUGC
rnacentral:rRNA from 1 species